rnacentral:rRNA from 1 species
GAUGAACGCUGGCGGCGUGCCUAAUACAUGCAAGUCGAGCGAACAGACGAGGAGCUUGCUCCUCUGACGUUAGCGGCGGACGGGUGAGUAACACGUGGAUAACCUACCUAUAAGACUGGGAUAACUUCGGGAAUCCGGAGCUAAUACCGGAUAACAUGUUGAACCGCAUGGUUCAACAGUGAAAGACGGUCUUGCUGUCACUUAUAGAUGGAUCCGCGCCGCAUUAGCUAGUUGGUAAGGUAACGGCUUACCAAGGCAACGAUGCGUAGCCGACCUGAGAGGGUGAUCGGCCACACUGGAACUGAGACACGGUCCAGACUCCUACGGGAGGCAGCAGUAGGGAAUCUUCCGCAAUGGGCGAAAGCCUGACGGAGCAACGCCGCGUGAGUGAAGAAGGUCUUCGGAUCGUAAAACUCUGUUAUUAGGGAAGAACAAAUGUGUAAGUAACUAUGCACGUCUUGACGGUACCUAAUCAGAAAGCCACGGCUAACUACGUG